AGAGUUUGAUCCUGGCUCAGAUUGAACGCUGGCGGCAUGCCUUACACAUGCAAGUCGAACGGUAACAGGUCUUCGGAUGCUGACGAGUGGCGAACGGGUGAGUAAUACAUCGGAACGUGCCCGAUCGUGGGGGAUAACGGAGCGAAAGCUUUGCUAAUACCGCAUACGAUCUACGGAUGAAAGCAGGGGACCGCAAGGCCUUGCGCGGACGGAGCGGCCGAUGGCAGAUUAGGUAGUUGGUGGGAUAAAAGCUUACCAAGCCGACGAUCUGUAGCUGGUCUGAGAGGACGACCAGCCACACUGGGACUGAGACACGGCCCAGACUCCUACGGGAGGCAGCAGUGGGGAAUUUUGGACAAUGGGCGAAAGCCUGAUGCAGCCAUGCCGCGUGAAUGAUGAAGGCCUUAGGGUUGUAAACUGCUUUUGUACGGAACGAAAAGACUCUGGUUAAUACCUGGGGUCCAUGACGGUACCGUAAGAAUAAGCACCGGCUAACUACGUGCCAGCAGCCGCGGUAAUA
rnacentral:rRNA from 1 species